rnacentral:lncRNA from 1 species
UUCACCUUCACGAAGCGCAGCAGCAAGCCAUAAAGUAUGUUUUUAAUUUACAGUGGAACUGUAUUUUAUAUUAUGCAGCACAAACAGCAUGACCUUUAUAAAGAAGUCUUCAAGAGUCACACCACAUAACAGAGUAUGAAGUGCAAGCUGCGGGCCAUGGCUGAGAGAACACCAGAGCUUUGUCUAAUAUUCGUUCCGUGUAUUCCUUAGAAGUCAUUGGAAAUUUGGGGAAAAAAAAAAUCAAACUGCAGAUUGGUAUCAGCACAAACACUGGACGUUCAGACAGAACGGAAAGCGAGUUAGAGACAUAUCCAUGGCACACCUCUCCUACUCCCAUCAGCUGCAGGCACAGGAUCCUCAGCCACAGGGACAACAGGGAGCUGCAUUCCCUGCACUGUGUCUGCCUUUCCCGUUCCACCCAAUUGUAGGGGACCAACACCCCAACAGCUGCAGCAAUGCAAUCUACAAAGCAACAUCCUCUCCUGGAAGGGGAUGCAGCUCAGGUGUGGUGUGCUGCCAGGACUGGCCUGGACCUAACCCAUGACUUCGCAGCAAGUUCGGCGAUGCUGAAUGUGAUGAGCCCAAACGCCAGGAGGCCUCUGGUGCCAAAAUGAGAGGGAAGAGGCAGAACUGAGACAUGCCAAGAGGAGAUCUGGGACACAAUUCCUCCUCUGCUGCUACGUUGGGACUUCAUGUAAUGCAUGUACUGCAUCUCCUCCUCUACCCCGCAGCAUUUCCACCCCGAGCCCAGCCUCACGCUGUCCCUGGCAGCUUCCCACCCCUGUGCCAGAGCGCUGGGUUCUGCUGGUGUGCUGCUUCCACAGCACCUCGCUGCUUG